GCGCGCAUAGCUCAGUUGGUUAGAGCGUCCGCUUGACGUGCGGAAGGUCCCACGUUCGAAUCGUGGUGCGCGCACAA
rnacentral:tRNA from 1 species